AUUGAACGCUGGCGGCAUGCCUUACACAUGCAAGUCGAACGGUAACAGGUCUUCGGAUGCUGACGAGUGGCGAACGGGUGAGUAAUACAUCGGAACGUGCCCAGACGUGGGGGAUAACGAGGCGAAAGCUUUGCUAAUACCGCAUACGAUCUAAGGAUGAAAGCAGGGGACCGCAAGGCCUUGCGCGUUUGGAGCGGCCGAUGGCAGAUUAGGUAGUUGGUGGGAUAAAAGCUUACCAAGCCGACGAUCUGUAGCUGGUCUGAGAGGACGACCAGCCACACUGGGACUGAGACACGGCCCAGACUCCUACGGGAGGCAGCAGUGGGGAAUUUUGGACAAUGGGCGAAAGCCUGAUCCAGCAAUGCCGCGUGCAGGAUGAAGGCCUUCGGGUUGUAAACUGCUUUUGUACGGAACGAAAAGGCUCUGGCUAAUACCUGGGGCACAUGACGGUACCGUAAGAUUAAGCACCGGCUAACUACGUG
rnacentral:rRNA from 1 species